rnacentral:lncRNA from 1 species
UUUGGCAAUGACCCCAGACAUCUUCCCAGAAUGGGAGUUGUUUCUGAGAAGCAGCCAAAUGCUUCAGCAGUGCUGUGAGCACUUGCAGCACUGCCGGCAUUGCAGUGCCACCAGUACCACCAGCAGCUCUCUGCUGCUGGAGGGACAGUGACCCCUCAGGGUAGGGAAAUGAGGAAUGGUAGAAACCUGCUGAGAGAGGGAAAGCAUUUGGAGCAUGUCUCAUUUGGAAGAAGAGUGUUUUUAAUCAGGAGGAAAUGAGGAGCCUGUCAAAGAACUCUCCAUUUUGAGCUACUUCCGCUAUUGCUGAAAAAAAGGCAAGACAAACAACUCUGAGGAAGUCAAAUUCUGACGUAGCCAGAGAUUAAAUUUCCGAUUCUCCCACCGAGCCUUGCGAAACAACGGUGGGACAGGGCACAGAGUGGAGCCAGCAGGACGGGAAUGGCAAGCUCCUGGUGAUCUGGGAACUUUCUGCAUGUCACUGACCUGGCAGGAGCUGCUUUAGGACACGGAUCCCAAAGGAGCAAGAGGUUCCAGGAAGCGCCGCUGAUCUGCACAGACCCCUUUGCCUGCUGCUGCCCCACAGGGAACAGUAACAAAGUGCUGGAGGUGGUGGUCCAUAGAGUUCCUCAGGGAGUGCCUCCAGAAGUCUCUGAGGAGCCAGAAGGAAGCACUGCCCACAGGAAUGAUGCCACCCCAGGCUGCCCUGUAAGGCUUUGGGGCAGUGUUUCUCUUGCAGACGCCCCUCCCAAGCUUCAUCCCUGCUGUCCAGCCCCCCAGCCUCCUUUGGAGAGAAACAAGAGGCAGUAGAGGGAUGGCUCCACUGGUGUUUACUGGGGUGGAGAAGCAUGGAAUUGCCAGGAGGAGUGGAAACACUGCUGGAGGAGGUCCUGUGUGCGGCAGGAGAGGAGUGGGGAUGUCAGGAGGGGAAGGCAGCCUGGGGGGAAUUUCUAAAGGAUGACAGAGGGGUCUGGAUGCCUUAGGAUUUCAGCCUUUAUAUUUUUCAAAUCCUGUAUUGCAUUAGUGCAUAACUCUAAACUCCAUGGAAAGUGUUAGUUAACUGUCUUCACAUUUUGGUCAGAAAAAACAAUCCCUCCAGGCCUGAAAUUCAAGGACACUCUACUGCCUCAGGCCCCAAAAAGUAUAGACAACAGUGAAUUGGGUGGGGAGCAAACUGGGGGUAAAUGACUUCAUUACCUGCAGCUGUAAUUGCAGGAUUAACCCCUGAUUUGUAAAUGGACCAAAAUUAUAUCUGUCUGAAAAACUCGUGACCAU